UGACCUCGGAUCAGGUAGGGAUACCCGCUGAACUUAAGCAUAUCAAUAAGCGGAGGAAAAGAAACCAACCGGGAUUGCCUCAGUAACGGCGAGUGAAGCGGCAAGAGCUCAAAUUUGAAAUCUGGCCCCUCCGGGGUCCGAGUUGUAAUUUGCAGAGGAUGCUUCGGGUGCGGCCCCUGUCUAAGUGCCCUGGAACGGGCCGUCAGAGAGGGUGAGAAUCCCGUCUUGGGCAGGGUGCCCGUGCCCGUGUGAAGCUCCUUCGACGAGUCGAGUUGUUUGGGAAUGCAGCUCAAAAUGGGUGGUAAAUUUCAUCUAAAGCUAAAUACCGGCCGGAGACCGAUAGCGCACAAGUAGAGUGAUCGAAAGAUGAAAAGCACUUUGAAAAGAGAGUUAAACAGCACGUGAAAUUGUUGAAAGGGAAGCGCUUGCAACCAGACUCGGCCUCGGGGUUCAGCCAGCAUUCGUGCUGGUGUACUUCCCCGGGGCCGGGCCAGCGUCGGUUUGGGCGGCCGGUCAAAGGCCCCAGGAAUGUAUCGUCCUCCGGGACGUCUUAUAGCCUGGGGUGCAAUGCGGCCAGCCUGGACCGAGGAACGCGCUUCGGCACGGACGCUGGCGUAAUGGUCGCAAACGACCCGUCUUGAAACACGGACCAAGGAGUCUAACAUCUACGCGAGUGUUCGGGUGUCAAACCCGUACGCGCAGUGAAAGCGAACGGAGGUGGGAGCCCCCCCGGGGCGCACCAUCGACCGAUCCUGAUGUCUUCGGAUGGAUUUGAGUACGAGCGUAGCUGUGGGGACCCGAAAGAUGGUGAACUAUGCCUGAAUAGGGUGAAGCCAGAGGAAACUCUGGUGGAGGCUCGCAGCGGUUCUGACGUGCAAAUCGAUCGUCAAAUUUGGGUAUAGGGGCGAAAGACUAAUCGAACCAUCUAGUAGCUGGUUCCUGCCGAAGUUUCCCUCAGGAUAGCAGUAACGCGGAUCAGUUUUAUGAGGUAAAGCGAAUGAUUAGAGGCAUUGGGGUUGAAACAACCUUAACCUAUUCUCAAACUUUAAAUAUGUAAGAAGCGCUUGUUGCUUAGUUGAACGUGCGCAUUAGAAUGGAGCGUUACUAGUGGGCCAUUUUUGGUAAGCAGAACUGGCGAUGCGGGAUGAACCGAACGCGAGGUUAAGGUGCCGGAAUGCACGCUCAUCAGACACCACAAAAGGUGUUAGUUCAUCUAGACAGCCCGACGGUGGCCAUGGAAGUCGGAAUCCGCUAAGGAGUGUGUAACAACUCACGGGCCGAAUGAACUAGCCCUGAAAAUGGAUGGCGCUCAAGCGUGCUACCCAUACCUCGCCGUCGGGGUAGAAACGAUGCCCCGACGAGUAGGCAGGCGUGGAGGUCCGUGACGAAGCCUUGGGCGUGAGCCCGGGUCGAACGGCCUCUAGUGCAGAUCUUGGUGGUAGUAGCAAAUACUCAAAUGAGAACUUUGAGGACUGAAGUGGGGAAAGGUUCCAUGUGAACAGCAGUUGGACAUGGGUUAGUCGACCCUAAGGCAUAGGGAAGUUCCGUUUGAAAGGCGCCCUCGUGCGCCGUGUGCCGAAAGGGAAGCCGGUUAAUAUUCCGGCACCUGGAUGUGGAUUCUCCACGGUAACGUAACUGAACGCGGAGACGUCGGCGGGGGUCCUGGGAAGAGUUCUCUUUUCUUCUUGACGGCCUAUCACCCUGAAAUCGGUUUGUCCGGAGCUAGGGUUCCAUGGCCGGCAGAGCCCUGCACCUUUGCAGGGUCCGGUGCGCCCCCGACGACCCUUGAAAAUCCGCGGGAAGGAAUAGUUUUCACGCCAGGUCGUACUCAUAACCGCAGCAGGUCUCCAAGGUGAACAGCCUCUAGUUGAUAGA
rnacentral:ncRNA from 1 species